rnacentral:rRNA from 1 species
AACGAACGCUGGCGGCAGGCCUAACACAUGCAAGUCGAGCGCCCCGCAAGGGGAGCGGCGGACGGGUGAGUAACACGUGGGAAUUUUCCUCAAGGUACGGAACAACUCAGGGAAACUUGGGCCAAUACCGUAUGAUGCAGAGAUGCCAAAGAUUUAUCGCCUUGGGAUAAGCCCGCGUCAGAUUAGGUAGUUGGUGGGGUAACGGCCUACCAAGCCUGUGAUCUGUAGCUGGUCUGAGAGGACGAUCAGCCACAUUGGGACUGAGACACGGCCCAAACUCCUACGGGAGGCAGCAGUGGGGAAUCUUGCGCAAUGGACGAAAGUCUGACGCAGCCAUGCCGCGUGAAUGAUGAAGGUCUUAGGAUUGUAAAGUUCUUUAGCCUGUGACGAUGAUGACGGUAACAGGAAAAUAAGCCCCGACUAACUUCGUGCCAGCAGCCGCAGUAAAAC